rnacentral:rRNA from 1 species
GGCGGCAGGCCUAACACAUGCAAGUCGAGCGGUAGAGAGAAGCUUGCUUCUCUUGAGAGCGGCGGACGGGUGAGUAAUGCCUAGGAAUCUGCCUGGUAGUGGGGGAUAACGUUCGGAAACGGACGCUAAUACCGCAUACGUCCUACGGGAGAAAGCAGGGGACCUUCGGGCCUUGCGCUAUCAGAGGAGCCUAGGUCGGAUUAGCUAGUUGGUGAGGUAAUGGCUCACCAAGGCGACGAUCCGUAACUGGUCUGAGAGGAUGAUCAGUCACACUGGAACUGAGGCACGGUCCAGACUCCUACGGGAGGCAGCAGUGGGGAAUAUUGGACAAUGGGCGAAAGCCUGAUCCAGCCAUGCCGCGUGUGUGAAGAAGGUCUUCGGAUUGUAAAGCACUUUAAGUUGGGAGGAAGGGUUGUAGAUUAAUACUCUGCAAUUUUGACGUUACCGACAGAAUAAGCACCGGCUAACUCUGUGCCAGCAGCCGCGGUAAUACAGAGGGUGCAAGCGUUAAUCGGAAUUACUGGGCGUAAAGCGCGCGUAGGUGGUUUGUUAAGUUGGAUGUGAAAUCCCCGGGCUCAACCUGGGAACUGCAUUCAAAACUGACUGACUAGAGUAUGGUAGAGGGUGGUGGAAUUUCCUGUGUAGCGGUGAAAUGCGUAGAUAUAGGAAGGAACACCAGUGGCGAAGGCGACCACCUGGACUAAUACUGACACUGAGGUGCGAAAGCGUGGGGAGCAAACAGGAUUAGAUACCCUGGUAGUCC